CUACGGAGGGUGCAAGCGUUAUUCGGAAUCACUGGGCGUAAAGGACGCAUAGGCGGGUUGGCAAGUCAGAUGUGAAAUCCUACAGCUUAACUGUAGAACUGCAUUUGAAACUGCUAACCUAGAGUAUGGGAGGGGGAGAUGGAAUUAGUGGUGUAGGGGUAAAAUCCGUAGAUAUCACUAGGAAUACCGAAAGCGAAGGCGAUCUCCUGGAACAUAACUAACGCUAAGGCGUGAAAGCGUGGGGAGCAAACAGGAUUAGAAACCCUAGUAGUCC
rnacentral:rRNA from 1 species